rnacentral:sRNA from 1 species
AAAAGUGUUGUGACGGUACUGUGAUCGAAGUUGGCUUUAACCUUUCGGUAACAUCAGUUCUUCAUUGUAUCUAUCUUGAUUCCCGCACCAAUGAGCUUGGGAAAUCAUUUCUGAAAGUUCUGAUAUUUAAUACAUUGAAAGGUAAUGCAAAAUGGCUAACGGCACAGUAAAAUGGUUCAACGACACCAAAGGUUUCGGUUUCAUCACUCCUGAUAACGGUGGUGAAGACCUGUUUGCUCACUUCUCUGAAAUUCAAUCCUCGGGCUUCAAGUCCCUGGCUGAAAACCAGAAAGUUUCCUUUGAAGUGACCACUGGUCCCAAAGGCAAGCAAGCUUCCAAGAUUCAAGUUCUGUAAUCUGAAGCUGGCUUGAAGAAAAACCCACCGUAAGGUGGGUUUUUUUAU